CCCCCAGUCCGGGUUUCCCCCGCUGCCGGGGGAGAUUCCCCCCAAAAACCCCCAAAAGGCUCCAAAUUGUGCCCAAAUUCCGCUUUAUUGGGACUUUCCGCAAUAAAUUAUCCCGGCGGUCAAUAAAUUACCGGCCCCGCCCCGGGACCGGCGGCUUCCGGGCCGGGGGGACGCCAUAAAUACACAAAACUUUAUAAAAACCGCUACAAAAGUAUCAAAAAUAUCUCUGAAAUCCAUAAAUAAAACAAUAAAUAAAAGCGGCUUCUCCCAGCCCGUCCUGGCCGAGCUCGGCUCAUUCCCCGGGUCCCGGUUCUGGUCCCGGUUCUGGUCUGGACCGGUCCCGGUUCUGGUCUGGACCGGUCCCGGUUCCGUUCCCGGUUCCAUUCCCGGUUCCGGUCCCGGUUCUGGUCCCGGUUCCAUUCCCGGUUCUGGUCCCGGUUCUGGUCCCGGUUCCAUUCCCGGUUCUGGUCCCGGUUCUGGUCCCGGUUCUGGUCCCGGUUCUGGUCUGGACCGGUCCCGGUUCUGGUCCCGGUUCUGGUCCCGG
rnacentral:lncRNA from 1 species